rnacentral:rRNA from 1 species
GGAUUAGGCAUGCAAGUCGAACGAGGAAGUGCCCCGUAAGGGGCGCAAGCCUAGUGGCGAAAGGGUGAGUAAUGCAUUGAUAACCUGCCUUUGAGAUGGGAAUAACUGCGUUUCGAGCAAUCGGAACUACCGAAAGGGCUGCUAAUACCCAAUAAUACUAUAGGUGCAAAAGCACUUGUGGUCAAAUGCUAGGAAUUCUGUUCCUUGUGCUUAAAGAGGGGUUAAUGUCCUAUCAGCCAGUUGGUGGGGUAAUGGCCUACCAAGGCAAAGACGGGUAGCCGGCUUGAGAGGGUGGUCGGCCACACUGGGACUGAGACACUGCCCAGACUCCUACGGGAGGCUGCAGUCGAGAAUCUUUCGCAAUGCCCGAAAGG